UACCGAGUUAUACAACUCAUCAACCCUGUGAACAUACCUAAAACGUUGCUUCGGCGGGAACAGACGGCCCCGUAACACGGGCCGCCCCCGCCAGAGGACCCCCUAACUCUGUUUCUAUUAUGUUUCUUCUGAGUAAAACAAGCAAAUAAAUUAAAACUUUCAACAACGGAUCUCUUGGCUCUGGCAUCGAUGAAGAACGCAGCGAAAUGCGAUAAGUAAUGUGAAUUGCAGAAUUCAGUGAAUCAUCGAAUCUUUGAACGCACAUUGCGCCCGCCAGUAUUCUGGCGGGCAUGCCUGUUCGAGCGUCAUUACAACCCUCAGGCCCCCGGGCCUGGCGUUGGGGAUCGGCGAGGCGCCCCCUGCGGGCACACGCCGUCCCCCAAAUACAGUGGCGGUCCCGCCGCAGCUUCCAUUGCGUAGUAGCUAACACCUCGCAACUGGAGAGCGGCGCGGCCACGCCGUAAAACACCCAACUUCUGAAUGUUGACCUCGAAUCAGGUAGGAAUACCCGCUGAACUUAAGCAUAU
rnacentral:rRNA from 2 species